GAAAUCUUGCGCAAUGGGCGAAAGCCUGACGCAGCAACGCCGCGUGCGGGAAGAAGGCCUUCGGGUUGUAAACCGCUUUCAGCAGGAACGAAAAUGACGGUACCUGCAGAAGAAGGUGCGGCCAACUAUGUGCCAGCAGCCGCGGUGAUACAUAGGCACCAAGCGUUGUCCGGAUUUAUUGGGCGUAAAGAGCUCGUAGGCGGUUCAGUCAGUCGGGUGUGAAAACUCUGGGCUUAACCCAGAGCCUGCACCCGAUACUGCUGUGACUAGAGUUCGGUAGGGGAGCGGGGAAUUCCUGGUGUAGCGGUGAAAUGCGCAGAUAUCAGGAGGAACACCGAUGGCGAAGGCACCGCUCUGGGCCGAAACUGACGCUGGGGAGCGAAAGCAUGGGUAGCAAACAGGAUUAGAUACCCUGGUAGUCCAUGCCGUAAACGUUGGGCACUAGGUGUGGGUUCCAAUCAACGGAAUCCGCGCCGUCGCUAACGCAUUAAGUGCCCCGCCUGGGGAGUACGGUCGCAAGACUAAAACUCAAAUGAAUUGACGG
rnacentral:rRNA from 1 species